GCUUACGGCCAUACCACCUUAGGCACGCCCGAUCUCGUCUGAUUUCGGAAGCUAAGCAGGGUCGGGCCUGGUUAGUACUUGGAUGGGUGACCGCCUGGGAAUACCAGGUGCUGUAAGCA
rnacentral:rRNA from 1 species